rnacentral:rRNA from 1 species
GAUCAUGGCUCAGGACGAACGCUGGCGGCGUGCUUAACACAUGCAAGUCUAACGAGAAUCUGCUGAAGGAGGAUUCGUCCAACGGAAGUAGAGGAAAGUGGCGGACGGGUGAGUAACGCGUGAGGAACCUGCCUUGAAGAGGGGGACAACAGUUGGAAACGACUGCUAAUACCGCAUGAAGCAUAGGGGUCGCAUGACUUCUUUAUCGACCAAAGUAUUUAUCGUCUUACAAGAGUCGGCCCUCGCCG